AGAAUAGCAGGCAGGAGGCCUACACAUGCAGUCGAGCGGUAACAGAUCCAGCUUGCUGGAUGCUGACGAGCGGCGGACGGGUGAGUAAUGCAUAGGAAUCUGCCCGAUAGUGGGGGAUAACCUGGGGAAACCCAGGCUAAUACCGCAUACGUCCUACGGGAGAAAGGGGGCUCCGGCUCCCGCUAUGGGAUGAGCCUAUGUCGGAUUAGCUAGUUGGUGAGGUAACGGCUCACCAAGGCCACGAUCCGUAGCUGGUCUGAGAGGAUGAUCAGCCACAUCGGGACUGAGACACGGCCCGAACUCCUACGGGAGGCAGCAGUGGGGAAUAUUGGACAAUGGGGGAAACCCUGAUCCAGCCAUGCCGCGUGUGUGAAGAAGGCCCUCGGGUUGUAAAGCACUUUCAGCGAGGAAGAACGCCUAGCGGUUAAUACCCGCUAGGAAAGACAUCACUCGCAGAAGAAGCACCGGCUAACUCCGUGCCAGCAGCCGCGGUAAUACGGAGGGUGCAAGCGUUAAUCGGAAUUACUGGGCGUAAAGCGCGCGUAGGUGGCUUGAUAAGCCGGUUGUGAAAGCCCCGGGCUCGACCUGGGAACGGCAUCCGGAACUGUCAAGCUAGAGUGCAGGAGAGGAAGGUAGAAUUCCCGGUGUAGCGGUGAAAUGCGUAGAGAUCGGGAGGAAUACCAGUGGCGAAGGCGGCCUUCUGGACUGACACUGACACUGAGGUGCGAAAGCGUGGGUAGCAAACAGGAUUAGAUACCCUGGUAGUCCACGCCGUAAACGAUGUCGACCAGCCGUUGGGUGCCUAGCGCACUUUGGUGGCGAAGUUAACGCGAUAAGUCGACCGCCUGGGGGAGUACCGGCCGCGGGGUUAAAACUCAAUGAAUUGACGGGGGGCCCGCACAAGCGGUGGAGCAGGGUGGUUUAAUUUCGAUGCAACGCGAGAGCCUUUACCUACUCUUGACAUGCGUGGCGAGUUGGGUAGAGAUACCGUUAGGUGCCUUUCGGGGGA
rnacentral:rRNA from 1 species